rnacentral:rRNA from 1 species
CGGCGAGCGAACGGGGAGCAGCCCAGAGCCUGAAUCAGUGUGUGUGUUAGUGGAAGCGUCUGGAAAGGCGCGCGAUACAGGGUGACAGCCCCGUACACAAAAAUGCACAUGCUGUGAGCUCGAUGAGUAGGGCGGGACACGUGGUAUCCUGUCUGAAUAUGGGGGGACCAUCCUCCAAGGCUAAAUACUCCUGACUGACCGAUAGUGAACCAGUACCGUGAGGGAAAGGCGAAAAGAACCCCGGCGAGGGGAGUGAAAAAGAACCUGAAACCGUGUACGUACAAGCAGUGGGAGCACGCUUAGGCGUGUGACUGCGUACCUUUUGUAUAAUGGGUCAGCGACUUAUAUUCUGUAGCAAGGUUAACCGAAUAGGGGAGCCGAAGGGAAACCGAGUCUUAACUGGGCGUUAAGUUGCAGGGUAUAGACCCGAAACCCGGUGAUCUAGCCAUGGGCAGGUUGAAGGUUGGGUAACACUAACUGGAGGACCGAACCGACUAAUGUUGAAAAAUUAGCGGAUGACUUGUGGCUGGGGGUGAAAGGCCAAUCAAACCGGGAGAUAGCUGGUUCUCCCCGAAAGCUAUUUAGGUAGCGCCUCGUGAAUUCAUCUCCGGGGGUAGAGCACUGUUUCGGCAAGGGGGUCAUCCCGA